rnacentral:rRNA from 1 species
UACGAGGGGUGCAAGCGUUGCUCGGAAUUAUUGGGCGUAAAGGGUAGGUAGGUGGUCCUGUUUGUCAGAGGUGAAAUCCUUGGGCUUAACCCAAGAAGUGCCUCUGAAACGGCAGGACUCGAGUUCUGGAGAGGGUCGUGGAAUUCCCGGUGUAGCGGUGAAAUGCGUAGAGAUCGGGAGGAACACCAGAGGCGAAGGCGGCGACCUGGACAGAUACUGACACUCAACUACGAAAGCGUGGGUAGCAAACAGG